CAAGUUGGCCGGGUGAUCGCGGGCGCAGCGGCGCGAGCCGCUCCGCGCUCGAGGAAAGUCCGCGCUCCGAAGAGCACGACGCCGGGUAACGCCCGGUGCGGGGUGACCCGCAGGAACAGGGCCACAGAGAUGCGUAUCGCCGGGGCUUGCCCCGGCAAGGGUGAAACGGUGAGGUAAGAGCUCACCGGCGUCCGCAGCAAUGCGGGCGGCCAGGUAUCCCCCGUCGGGAGCAAGGCCAAGCAGGGGUGAGCUGCGGCUCGCAGCGUUUGAGCCCCGGGUAGGCUGCUAGAGUCGUCCAGCAAUGGCCGGCCCAGAGAGAUGAUCGCCUAAAACAGAACGCGGCUUACGGGUCGACUUGGAUC
rnacentral:RNase_P_RNA from 1 species